AUGGCAGGUGAGUGUAUGAGGUCUGCUCUGGUGACCCUCUUCAUCUUUGCCAUGGUACUCUCUCCUAUUUUGACCUCUGAGGCAGCUCGAUUCACUUUUCCAGGUAAAUAAUUCCACCACCAAUUUUACUAUAGUGGCCAGCUGCUCCAUUUUUAACCCUGCAAGCUUUUGGUAUUUAGGGGAUUACAUGUUGAUUUUGUAUUUUGUUUCAGAUACGACUCCUAUAUGUCCUGAUUGUGUAUGCUGCUCACCUCCCCCACCAGGCUGUUGCUGCGAUUGUAAUUGUGCUGCACCAAUUAAAACUCACACCGAUGAGUAA
rnacentral:lncRNA from 1 species